rnacentral:rRNA from 1 species
AUGGGAACGCGAAGAACCUUACCUAGACUUGACAUCUCCUGAAUAGUGUAGAGAUACAUGAAGCCCUUCGGGGCAGGAAGACAGGUGGUGCAUGGUUGUCAUCAGCUCGUGUCGUGAGAUGUUGGGUUAAGUCCCGCAACGAGCGCAACCCUUAUCAUUAGUUGCUACCAGUAAGAUGAGCACUCUAAUGAGACUGCCCGGGUUAACCGGGAGGAAGGCGGGGAUGACGUCAAAUCAUCAUGCCCCUUAUGUCUAGGGCUACACACGUGCUACAAUGGCAAGUACAAAGAGAAGCAAGACCGUGAGGUGGAGCAAAUCUCAAAAACUUGUCCCAGUUCGGAUUGUAGGCUGAAACUCGCCUACAUGAAGCCGGAGUUGCUAGUAAUCGCGAAUCAGCAUGUCGCGGUGAAUACGUUCCCGGGUCUUGUACACACCG